GCACUCUAGACGAACUGCCGUUGACAAAACGGAGGAAGGUCGGGAUGACGUCAAAUCAUCAUGCCCUUAUGUUCUGGGCUACACACGUGCUACAAUGGCCGGUACAGACGGACGCAAAGCCGCGAGGUGGAGCAAAUCCUAAAAAGCCGGUCUCAGUUCGGAUUGCAGGCUGCAAUUCGCCUGCAUGAAGUCGGAAUCGCUAGUAAUCGCAGGUCAGCAUACUGCGGUGAAUACGUUCCCGGGCCUU
rnacentral:rRNA from 1 species